UACAGGGGGUGCAAACGUUGCUCGGAAUUAUUGGGCGUAAAGCGCGCGUAGGCGGCCACUUAAGUCGGAUGUGAAAGCCCCUGGCUCAACUGGGGAAGUGCACCCGAAACUGAAUGGCUUGAGUGCGAAAGAGGGUCGCGGAAUUCCCGGUGUAGAGGUGAAAUUCGUAGAUAUCGGGAGGAACACCGGUGGCGAAGGCGGCGACCUGGGUCGACACUGACGCUGAGGCGCGAAAGCUAGGGGAGCGAACGGG
rnacentral:rRNA from 1 species